CUUGUACUCCCUCCGUCCGCAAAUAUUUGUCAUUGAAAUGGAUGUAUCUAGAUGUAUUUUAGUUCUAGACACAUCCAUUUUGAUGACAAGUAAUUCCGGACGGAGGGAGUACUUG
rnacentral:pre_miRNA from 1 species